rnacentral:tRNA from 1 species
ACCUGAGUGGCUCAGUCGGUUAAGCGUCUGACUUCAACUCAGGUCAUGAUCUCAGGGUUUGUGAGUUCAAGCCCCACGUCAGGCU